rnacentral:rRNA from 1 species
AGCGAACGUUGGCGGCGCGCCUAACACAUGCAAGUCGAUCGCGAAAGGACUUCGGUCCGAGUAGAGUGGCGCACGGGUGAGUAACACGUGAGUAAUCUGCCCUUAAGCUUGGGAUAACAUGCCGAAAGGCGUGCUAAUACCGAAUGAGACCACGUCCUCUGCGGAGGAUGUGAGAAAAGAUGGGGAUCCGAGAGGACCUAUCACUUGAGGAUGAGCUCGCGGCCUAUCAGCUAGUUGGCGGGGUAAUGGCCCACCAAGGCGAAGACGGGUAGCUGGUCUGAGAGGACGAUCAGCCACACGGGAACUGAGACACGGUCCCGACUCCUACGGGGGGCAGCAGUGAGGAAUAUUCGGCAAUGGGGGCAACCCUGACCGAGCAACGCCGCGUGGAGGAUGACGGUUUUCGGAUUGUAAACUCCUUUUCUCAGGGAAGAGCGAGGACGGUACCUGGGGAAUAAGUCACGGCUAACUACGUGCCAGCAGCCGCGGUAA